rnacentral:lncRNA from 1 species
UUUCUCUGUAAAGUGGAGUCUCCGGCCAGAAUUAAUUAGAACAGCACUUUUGUGGCUUGUACAUGGACACUCAUCUUCAUUUCUUGGACUCUGAGCCUCAAUUUCUCAUUCAAGUGGAGAAAGCAUAUAACAAGAAUAUGGAGAGAAGAUGUCAAAUCUGAAAAGCACUUAAAAGUAUGAAACAUCGAGAAGAACUAGAAGAUGGCCAAAUAGGAACAGCACUGGACUGCAGCUCCCAGCGAAAUCAAUGCCAAAUCAAUGCAGAAAGGAGCAAACUCAAGUCCUGCAUCUCAUCCCUGAUGCCCCUUCCUCAGUCUACUCACAUGAGCAUAACUCAGGAA